rnacentral:rRNA from 1 species
ACUGUUUACCAAAAACAUAGCCCUCGGCUAAUAUGAAAAUAGAUGUAUAGAGGGUGAUGCCUGCCCAAUGGUUGUAUCUAAAAGCGGUUGAUAAAAGUCGACCUCGUAAGGACAAUUGAAUGGCCGCGGUAACACUGACCGUGAUAAUGUAGCGUAAUCAAUAGCCAAUUAAUUGUUGGCCAGUAUGAAUGGCGCCACGAAGGCCCCACUGUCUUAAGGAAAUUCCCAGUGAAAUUGAAUUCGUAGUGAAGAUGCUACGUCCAAUUUGUUAGACGAAAAGACCCCGUUGAGCUUUACUGGAGCACUUACAUGGCCCCGGCCUUCCCAUGCCUGGGAACCGGCCGAAUUUAAAUGGGCGGCUUAGAUUAUGUGGCAGUCCCCCGCUGGGGCAAAUGAAACACCACUCCCCCAUGUCAAAGGGGCUAACCCCCCCCCUUGGGGGGGACAGUGUAAGUAGGACAGUUUGGUUGGGGCGACCGCCUUUUAAAAAGUAACGAAGGUGCGCUUAAGGUGCGCAAUUAAUGACUGAAGCCUGACUGCGAGGGGGACACCCCGAGCAGACACCCCUAAGCCCGCCCGAAGGGCGGCGGUGGGGUGGGCCAUAGUGACCCGUUAAUUUAGAGUGGAAUAGUUAACGAUCAACGAAUAAAAG